rnacentral:rRNA from 1 species
UACAGAGGUCUCAAGCGUUUGUUCGGAUUCAUUGGGCGUAAAAGCGCGUGUAGGCGGCUUUGCAAGUCGGGGUGUGAAAGCCCUCAGCUCAACUGAGGAAGUGCGCCCGAAACUGCAGAGCUUGAGUGCCGGAGAGGGUGGCGGAAUUCCCCAAGUAGAGGUGAAAUUCGUAGAUAUGGGGGAGGAACACCGGUGGCGAAGGCGGCCACCUGGACGGUAACUGACGCUGAGACGCGAAAGCGUGGGGAGCAAACAGG